rnacentral:rRNA from 1 species
CCUACGGGAGGCAGCAGUGAGGAAUAUUGGUCAAUGGACGCAAGUCUGAACCAGCCAUGCCGCGUGCGGGAAGAAGGCACUAUGAGUUGUAAACUGCUUUUGUACGAGGGUAAACGCAGGUACGCGUAUCUGGCUGAAAGUAUCGUACGAAUAUGGAUCGGCUAACUCCGUGCCAGCAGCCGCGGUAAUACGGAGGAUUCAAGCGUUAUCCGGAUUUAUUGGGUUUAAAGGGUGCGUAGGCGGUCGGAUAAGUUAGAGGUGAAAUCCCGGGGCUCAACUUCGGGAUUGCCUCUGAUACUGUUCGGCUAGAGAGUAGUUGCGGUAGGCGGAAUGUAUGGUGUAGCGGUGAAAUGCUUAGAGAUCAUACAGAACACCGAUUGCGAAGGCAGCUUACCAAGCUACUUCUGACGUUGAGGCACGAAAGCGUGGGGAGCAAACAGGAUUAGAUACCCCAGUAGUC